CGCGGCUAGUAUACACAAUAACACAAUGCAUUCAAGGAAGCGGGAAAAUAGGCUAACACAUUCAAAAUUCAGCCUCCUGCAAAUUCCCCCAAUUUCUAGGGUUUCCGUUACGAAUUCACUGGCAUUUCAACGAGCUUCAGGAUGUUGAUCAAUGCUCUCAUCUCAGAUUGUUCAAUAUAUGAUAAAACAGACCGGAAUUUGGCUGAAUUUUGUAGAAUUUGGUGGUGGCACCUUGAUGGCUGCAGCCUGCAACGUGGUAUGGCUGUGCUGGUCUGCGUCUAGGCGAGCGCCUUGUGCGCCUUUUGAUUACUAUGAUUUCAGCAACAAAUUAUUGAAUUGAAAGCAACACGGUUAUAGGUACUUGUAACUAAAGCAAUAGAAUUUAUAUUUGCUCUUGGAAAAUUUGUUUUGUUUUUUAAAUGACAAGUCAUUCCAAAUAAUUUAUUUAUUUAUUUCGGUUAAA